rnacentral:misc_RNA from 1 species
AGAAGUUUUCAUAGGAAUGAUUCUCAUCGGUCCUUAUCCACUCGUGUUUUUCCUGUGGUUUGGAGAUUUGGGAAUCGAGUUACACAUGUUCUAGCAAAAACUCCUCUAUUUCAAGUGCCAUAUUUAGUCAUUCAUGAGAAUUUAUCACCUCAUCUGCUUUCCCUUACUCAUCAUGAUAUGCCUGUAAUUUGAGUUUUUUCUAAUGUUAUUUGCUUUAAAAAAACAAAAUACAUGAUUUUUUAUGCUCCUGCUAGAGCAACCUACAUGUGUCUUUUUAAAUGAAUUUUGUAACAUUGAAAAUCAUCAGAGUCUACAGAUGAAAGGAGCAGUGCUAAUGAAUGAGUCAAUUGGGAUGAUCAAGAUCCAUGAUCAUCGGAGGAGAUCCAUGUAAUGUUACUAGAAACAAAGGAAAUUGUUGCCGCACUAUAAUAAAAAUAAUUUUUAAUUA